rnacentral:rRNA from 1 species
GUUGAACGCUGGCGGAAUGCUUUACACAUGCAAGUCGAGCGGCAGCGCGGGGGCAACCCUGGCGGCGAGCGGCGAACGGGUGAGUAACAUAUCGGAACGUACCCUGUCGUGGGGGAUAACUAUCCGAAAGGAUAGCUAAUACCGCAUACGACCUGAGGGUGAAAGCGGGGGACCGCAAGGCCUCGCGCGAUAGGAGCGGCCGAUAUCGGAUUAGCUAGUUGGUGAGGUAAAGGCUCACCAAGGCGACGAUCCGUAGCGGGUCUGAGAGGACGACCCGCCACACUGGAACUGAGACACGGUCCAGACUCCUACGGGAGGCAGCAGUGGGGAAUUUUGGACAAUGGGGGCAACCCUGAUCCAGCCAUUCCGCGUGAGUGAAGAAGGCCCUCGGGUUGUAAAGCUCUUUCAGCAGGAACGAAACGGUGAGGGUUAAUACCCUUUACUAAUGACGGUACCUGAAGAAGAAGCACCGGCUAACUACGUGCCAGCAGCCGCGGU